rnacentral:rRNA from 1 species
GACGAACGCUGGCGGCGUGCUUAACACAUGCAAGUCGAACGGUGAAGCGCCUUCCUUUUUGGUUGGUGUGGAUGCGUGGCGAACGGGUGAGUAACACGUGAGUAACCUUCCCCCUUCUUCUGGAUAACCGCAUUAAAGUGUGGCUAAUACGGGAUCUUCUGCGUCUUUCUCAUGAUUGGUCUGUGUCAGCUAUUGUUUCUGUGGUGGCUGGGCUUGCGGACUAUCAGGUUGUUGGUGGGGUGAUGGCCUUCCACGGCGGUGACGGGUAGCCGGCCUGGGAGGGUGGACGGUCAGAGUGGGAGAGAGACACGGCUGGGACUCCGACACGGGGCAGAAGGGGGGAGUAUGGAGCAGUGGGGGAAAGCGUGAUACAGGGACGAGGCGGGAGGGAUGAAGGCCUGUGGGUUGUGAACCUCUUUCGCGAGUGAAGCGGGCCUGCCUGGGUUGAGGGUGGGUUGACGGUAGCUGGAUAAGAAGCGCCGGCUAACUACGUG